rnacentral:sRNA from 1 species
GUUUUUGUUUGUGCUUUCU